AGCCCAGUGAAGAUCUCCUGUUCUGUGGAUUGUGGAGCGCUUGGCUGAAGAGCAAUAUCUGAACUGAAGUCCCGGAGUGGGAGAGCCCCCGAGUCUUUGGUGACCAUAACUUCACAACAAUAACGUCUGGUAUACAUCCCAACCAUUUCUCUUCUGAAGCUGAGUUUGGCGAGGGAAGGAUCAGAUCUUUGUGUUUCAUAAAUAUUCCUGGUCCUGCAAGUAAAUUAAAGAAAACUUAUCUAAGACCAAAAUAAGUUUAACAGAUACAUAGCUAAUUCUCAGACUGAUUAGAACAAGGGAAAUCGUGAUCGAAGUAAAUAUAAUGAAAAAUACUCUUCAGAGAAUACUCUUCAGAACGGCUGUGCUUCUUGGGAAGUGACCCAGGAUCAUGGCAUUGAAGGAAGAUAAUCCAGAGAGGACUACUCUUGCUGCUUUGAGGCUGAAAAUAGCAAUUCCUGUUGAUUUUAACCAUGUUUAAGUUCUUGAGACUUCCACUAAGAGGAAUGAGGAAAUGAUUAUAACAUUUAAUUUAAUUUUAUUUUAUUUUUACCUUUGCCUAUAGCAGCUGGCUGAUGUGAGCCAGGGGAAAGGUAGGCGAGGUACCAAGGUCACAGGAAAGAAUGGAGUGAAGGGAAAGCCUUAUAAACUUUAUAUUAUUGUAAACUGAUAACAGCAGAUUUACUUUUUUUUCUUUUAAUGCACAAGAUAUUAAAGAAAAAGAAGAGAAAAAGAACCAGCACCUAUUAAUCAGUUAGUAUGUGCCAAGCAGUUAGCUAUGUGCUUUAUGUACAUUAUUUCACCUAAAACCUGCUUAAUCCUACAAGGAUAUUCAGUCAGGAUAAAGUAGGUUAUCCUGUAGAAGCCAAUCUCAGUAGCUUAAAAUAGCAAGAUUUACAGAUCCAGGUGAUUCUCAUAGGCACUUGUCCUUCACUGGUGACA
rnacentral:lncRNA from 13 species